rnacentral:rRNA from 1 species
GCCAGACUCCUACGGGAGGCAGCAGUGGGGAAUAUUGCACAAUGGGGGAAACCCUGAUGCAGCGACGCCGCGUGAGUGAAGAAGUAAUUCGUUAUGUAAAGCUCUAUCAGCAGGGAAGAAAAUGACGGUACCUGGGUAAGAAGCCCCGGCUAACUACGUGCCAGCAGCCGCGGUAAUACGUAGGGGGCAAGCGUUAUCCGGAUUUACUGGGUGUAAAGGGCGUGUAGGCGGGAAAGCAAGUCAGAUGUGAAAACCAUGGGCGCAACCUGUGGCCUGCAUUUGAAACUGUUUUUCUUGAGUACUGGAGAGGCAGGCGGAAUUCCUAGUGUAGCGGUGAAAUGCGUAGAUAUUAGGAGGAACACCAGUGGCGAAGGCGGUCUGCUGGACAGCAACUGACGCUGAGGCGCGAAAGCGUGGGGAGCAGGCAGGAUUAGAUACCCGUGUG